rnacentral:rRNA from 1 species
CGGCGGACGGGUGAGUAACACGUGGGUAACCUACCUAUAAGACUGGGACAACUUCGGGAAACCGGAGCUAAUACCGGAUAAGAUAUCGAACCGCAUGGUUCGAUAGUGAAAGAUGGUUUUGCUAUCACUUAUAGAUGGACCCGCGCCGUAUUAGCUAGUUGGUGAGGUAACGGCUCACCAAGGCAACGAUACGUAGCCGACCUGAGAGGGUGAUCGGCCACACUGGAACUGAGACACGGUCCAGACUCCUACGGGAGGCAGCAGC